rnacentral:rRNA from 1 species
GAUGAACGCUGACGGCGUGCCUAAUACAUGCAAGUCGAGCGAACAGAUGAGGAGCUUGUUCCUCUGACGUUAGCGGCGGACGGGUGAGUAACACGUGGAUAACCUACCUAUAAGACUGGGAUAACUUCGGGAAACCGGAGCUAAUACCGGAUAAUAUAUUGAACCGCAUGGUUCAAUAGUGAAAGACGGUUUUGCUGUCACUUAUAGAUGGAUCCGCGCCGCAUUAGCUAGUUGGUAAGGUAACGGCUUACCAAGGCAACGAUGCGUAGCCGACCUGAGAGGGUGAUCGGCCACACUAGAACUGAGACACGGUCCAGACUCCUACGGGAGGCAGCAGUAGGGAAUCUUCCGCAAUGGGCGGAAGCCUGACGGAGCAACGCCGCGUGGGUGAUGAAGGUCUUCGGAUCGUGAAACUCUGUUAUUAGGGAAGAACAAAUGUGUAAGUAACUAUGCACGUCUUGACGGUACCUAAUCAGAAAGCCACGGCUAACUACGUG